rnacentral:lncRNA from 1 species
GCCGACAUGGCUGGCGAUGCUCUCUCCUGCCAGCGGGCCAGGGCGUGAAGGUGGCUGUGGCCCGGGAUGCGGGAUGCCAUCUCGCCCGUGUCCUUCCCACCGCUAGACGGGACCGUGGCAUCGGCGCUCCGGCAGCCCGACGCGCGCCUGUCCCGCGUGACUUGCAUACGCAAUGCAGCCAUGCUUAACGAGCCGACAGUAGCAGCUGCCAGCCAGAAUAGCAAAUCCGCGCGACUUGGCACCACUCCAGCUUCCUUGAGGGUUGCAGAGGGAUGGUAUGUUGGAGGGACAUGGAAGCUUCUGCCUGUGAAUUUAAUACCAAAGACAAUCAAGAUCUUGGUGACAGACAGAAGCAAAGGAUAAACCAUCAGAUAAGGCCUUGCCAGAAAACAGCCUUCGAAGGAGUCAAGG